GGGUCCAUAGCUCAACAGGCAGAGCGUCGGACUUUUAAUCCGUAGGUUCAGGGUUCGAGUCCCUGUGGACCCACCA
rnacentral:tRNA from 1 species